GACGAACGCUGGCGGCGUGCCUAAUACAUGCAAGUCGAGCGAUGAAGGAGAUACUUGUAUCUUUUGAAGAGCGGCGAACGGGUGAGUAACGCGUGGGGAAUCUGCCAAUGAGUGGGGGACAACAUUUGGAAACGAAUGCUAAUACCGCAUAAAAUCUAUUGAGACAUCUCAAGAGAUUGAAAGGAACAAUUGUUUCGCUCGUUGAUGAUCCCGCGUUGUAUUAGCUAGUUGGUGAGGUAAGGGCUCACCAAGGCGAUGAUACAUAGCCGACCUGAGAGGGUGAUCGACCACAUUGGGACUGAGACACGGCCCAAACUCCUACGGGAGGCAGCAGUAGGGAAUCUUCGGCAAUGGACGAAAGUCGGACCGAGCAACGCCGCGUGAGUGAAGAAGGUUUUCGGAUCGUAAAGCUCUGUUGUUGUUAAAGAACGUUGAUGAGAGUGGAAAGUUCAUCAAGUGACGGUAAACAACCAGAAAGGGACGGCUAACUACGUGCCAGCAGCCGCCGUAA
rnacentral:rRNA from 1 species